rnacentral:rRNA from 1 species
UCAGUUAUCGUUUAUUUGAUAGUACCUUACUACAUGGAUAACCGUGGUAAUUCUAGAGCUAAUACAUGCUAAAAACCUCGACUUCGGAAGGGGUGUAUUUAUUAGAUAAAAAACCAAUGCCCUUCGGGGCUCCUUGGUGAAUCAUAAUAACUUAACGAAUCGCAUGGCCCUUGCGCCGGCGAUGGUUCAUUCAAAUUUCUGCCCUAUCAACUUUCGAUGGUAGGAUAGUGGCCUACCAUGGUAUCAACGGGUAACGGGGAAUUAGGGUUCGACUCCGGAGAGGGAGCCUGAGAAACGGCUACCACAUCCAAGGAAGGCAGCAGGCGCGCAAAUUACCCAAUCCCGACACGGGGAGGUAGUGACAAUAAAUACUGAUACAGGGCUCUUUUGGGUCUUGUAAUUGGAAUGAGUACAAUUUAAAUCCCUUAACGAGGAACAAUUGGAGGGCAAGUCUGGUGCCAGCAGCCGCGGUAAUUCCAGCUCCAAUAGCGUAUAUUAAAGUUGUUGCAGUUAAAAAGCUCGUAGUUGAACCUUGGGCCUGGCUGGCCGGUCCGCCUCACCGCGUGUACUGGUCCGGCCGGGCCUUUCCUUCUGGGGAACCUCAUGCCCUUCACUGGGCGUGUUGGGGAACCAGGACUUUUACUUUGAAAAAAUUAGAGUGUUCAAAGCAGGCCUUUGCUCGAAUACAUUAGCAUGGAAUAAUAGAAUAGGACGUGUGGUUCUAUUUUGUUGGUUUCUAGGACCGCCGUAAUGAUUAAUAGGGAUAGUCGGGGGCAUCAGUAUUCAAUCGUCAGAGGUGAAAUUCUUGGAUUGAUUGAAGACUAACUACUGCGAAAGCAUUUGCCAAGGAUGUUUUCAUUAAUCAGUGAACGAAAGUUAGGGGAUCGAAGACGAUCAGAUACCGUCGUAGUCUUAACCAUAAACUAUGCCGACUAGGGAUCGGACGGUGUUAGUAUU